CCCAUAUUAAAUCUGAGUUGAACUAUAUUCUUCAGAGAUGCACUGUAUUAUUUUUAACUGAUGCAUUCAUGGCAACACUAUAAUCUCACCAGAGCUACUGGAUCGUGUUGUUCUAGGGCUUUCUGUGUUUUAUGAAGUCACUGCCUCUCAGUCUAAGUGCAUCACUCUUCUGACUGACCUCCAUAUAAAAGCUGUCCAUACUUUUAGAGUUACAGCCAUAAGUGCCCUGAUAUAGAAGCAUAUACUCGGCUCGUUUCAGAAAAAUUACCUCCUUUUUAGAGUAUUUUGACAGAACCUCUUUGGAAGAGUGAACAUGGAGCAGAAACUCCAUCAAGUGAUGAUGUCUUUGUCCUCUCAAUGGGUGAUGUGCUUGGGAGUGAGAGAAGAUUUUCAAAAGGUUUCAUGCCAUCUCAGUGUCUGAAAGUUCAGGUUCACAAAAGCAUUUCUCAUUGUUCUAGAAAGCUCAGACAAUCUCUUUGUUUUAUCUGCUAGAUGAUCUCCAGCCCUGCUGAAACAUCCUGAACAUAAGGUAGUUAGAUAUUUCUGGUUCUGAACUCUAAAGAUGAGGUCUCCAAGAAGUAUCAGAUAAUGAAAGAGAAAUAAUUUCAUCUUUGGAAAAGAAGAGUUUUUUUUGGGUUCAAGUUACAAAGUUCAAGUAUUUUUCAAGCUUUGAGUAUCAAGUGCUGUAUUUUAUAUAUCUCUAUAUAUAUCACACUUCUUUACUGUGCAUGUGACCAAGCGCUGGAGCAGAUUGCCCAGAGAGGCUGUGGAAUCUCCCUCACUAGAGAUAUUCCAGACCUGUCCAGAUGCCUUCUGUACUCUGGGAUGAUCCUGCUUGAGCAGGGAGAUUGGACCUGAUGACCCACUGUGGUACCUUCUGACCUGACCAAUUCUGUGAUUUGUGACUUACAAUGCUUGCUCAUUAUAGUGUCAUAAACAUAUUGAGCAAUUCAGCUGAACAAGGCAGAGCCACCUCAGAAAGGUUCCUAAAAUAAUGACAUAAAAACAAUUUUAUGUGUUGGAUAUUUUGAGGGGAUUGUUUGGUUAGUUUGAUGUAAGGCAAGUUCAAAGAUUACAAAGAAUAAGUGGUCAAACUUCAGCAGGAAUUUAAAUGUAACAGAAAUCUCUGUCUGUGCUUCCUCAGUGACACCCCAGCUGGAACACUGCAGCUGCAUGCAAAUAUCAAAUUGCUUCUUAGAGUGAGUUAUGAAAAACUGGACAGAAAAAACAGCAGACUGGCACUGAGAACACACAAAUGGAAAAUGAAGCUAAAAAAGAUUUGAAGAAAAGCUUUAAAAAUCUUCUAUUUGGAUUCUGGAAAAUGGCUCAUUAAUUACAGCUGGAAAUAUGAAAUGUGAAAGGCUGCCAGCAGAGUCAGCUCAGUUUUAGUUUGUCUGCCUGGCAUCAAAGCUACGAGAUGAAUGACCCCAUGUUCCUACUCCUUGUUUUGUAUUUAAGGAUGAUAUGGCUGAAGCAGGUUGAAAUUACAGCUCCCAUCUAUCACAUGAAGAGCAGCAAUCACCAGCAUUUAAUAAUCACAGCCUUCAGAAUGCAACAUGAGCUACAAAAGCAUACAAAUAGGCUGGGAGCAUGCAGAGUUACGGAGGAAGGAACAGCGUGUUCCUCAAAAUUUGCAAGCACCCUUUUGGAGGACUGCUGUGAAGGAGAACUGCCAUGGAGGUUGGCACCAGUCCUUGUGCCAAGGCUUGCUGUGGAUUAUUCUGGACCAAUGGCUUUCCCAGCAGUAGAUGCUAUUGAGAUUUCUCACACAGCUUUCAUGCUCCAUCCUUUGGAAAAUCCUUGGAACGUGUUCUGGCUAUCAGGGAGUGAAAUUUUUGGGUGGGCUGCUUGCCUGGUGUAUAACAAUCUGGGCAGAAUGGAUACCUUUGGAUUUCUACAGUUCAGCUAGCAAUUGAUUUUCUCUGGAGACAGAAUUAGCGUUGCCAAGACAGUUUCUUGGCCCAGUUACCAUUUACACUGUGGGCUCGCCCUGGAAAACCAUGCAGGCAUAUCUGGGGAUGUCUUCAGUCAGCAUAGGGUGGGUUGACUGUAUUGUCUGACCAGGUUUUGUGUGUGUCUUUCAUUUGUUUAUGCCUGCAAAUAGACCAUAUUGUCAAUUCCAGAUUAAAACGCUAUUGAAAAACUAUGAUUGCUUGUUUUCCAGGAAAACUAUGAAAAUUGUGAAUAACCCCUGUUGCAUUUUCUUUUUCUGAAGGAUAUUUAUUAAUUUUUUGUCCAGAUUGAACAAGGAAAACCUACUCUUUUUAAUUUCCUAUUCCACAUCUACUAAGGUAAUGGCUACCAAAGUAGAACAAGAGUGGCAUGACACAGGAAUGUUUGGCAUUGCAAAAUCCCAAGAGGGUCGAAAUCUCAGCAACCUUUUCCCAUAAGAUAAAUAGCUUAAAUUUAAAAUGAAAUGAAGCAUAUUGGAACAAAGAAUACAAAGAAGGGGUAGAAAGAAUUGAUACUGCUUACAGUGGCGUAACAUUUUCUAGAUUGAACUGAUUCAUAUUUCAGAAAACUCUGAAUGUAAUUUGGGUAUUUAUAUUAUGAACUGCAAAGCCUGUGAAGUCAGUGCAGUCCUUCUGUUGUCCCAGUGAUCUGUGAAUUAGGGACUUGCUGGAGAUCUGGAUUAGCCUGGCUACGUGCAGAAAACAUUCUUGCAUGUUCAAAUCCCAUUUCACCUUUCUCAUGUCUCAUUCUCCCCUAAGAACCAUUGCCUGUUUAAUGAUCAUAAUAACAAGAACUGCAAAUAAGCUGUGUUUUUCAUUUUGUUUAAUUUUUUAUAGAUGGAAAACACAUGGAUGACUGAAAGGGUAGUUACUAAAGUCUCAGCCUGAAAUGUAACCAAUGUAACCAAGUCUCCCUGAUCUCUUGUUAGACUAAUCAGAGGGACUUCCUUUUUUUUUUUUUGGCACUUCUUAUUGCUUGACUUCAGUGAUAUCUCAAAACAUGCAUUUGAGACAGUCUCUGCCAUGCCACUACUUCUUGAGAGCAGAUUUAAUUUCACUUUGGCGAGGAGAUUCAGUGUGCCUAACAUUGGUGCUGAAAUCCCUCAUGCUGUCAAAGACUGGAAAAUAAUCUCUUCCCUAUACCUUCUGUCACAUACACAGAUGUAGAAACAUAUCCUGGGGCAAAAUCCUGAGCAUGCUAAAUCCAGCAGUGCCAUUAAGGUUGGGAUGGAAUAGCAUAAACAUGUAUCAUCCAAAUCUGUAUCUAUAUCUCCAGUACAGGUAGGAUUUAUUGUAAGAAGAAAAACAAAGUAAAAACACAGCUGAUAAUUUGAUGAAUUUAUGUUUUUUGAAUGAAGAAGAACUAGUUAUCACCAAAGUUACCUGGAUGAAGCUGAAUGUUCUGCUUAUCGCUUUGAUAUAUUUGAUUUCUUCAAAGUGAAUUAGUUCUAGUUUUGUCAUAAACAAUAUCUCUUUUUUAAUAAAGAUUUUUUUCAAAGCUUC